rnacentral:rRNA from 1 species
GACAGCAGCCGCCGCGGUAAUACGUAGGGUGCAAGCGUUAAUCGGAAUUACUGGGCGUAAAGCGUGCACAGGCGGUUAUGUAAGUCAGAUGUGAAAUCCCCGGGCUCAACCUGGGAACUGCAUUUGAGACUGUAUGGCUAGAGUGUGUCAGAGGGGGGUAGAAUUCCACGUGUAGCAGUGAAAUGCGUAGAUAUGUGGAGGAAUACCGAUGGCGAAGGCAGCCCCCUGGGAUAACACUGACGCUCAUGCACGAAAGCGUGGGGAGCAAACAGGAUUAGAUACCCCAGUAGUCCCUGUCUCUUAUCC